rnacentral:rRNA from 1 species
GAAUUCGCCCUUAGAGUUUGAUCCUGGCUCAGGACGAACGCUGGCGGCGCGCCUAACACAUGCAAGUCGAACGGAGUUAUUUUGGCAGAAGCCUUCGGGCGGACGCUGAUAUAACUUAGUGGCGAACGGGUGAGUAACACGUGAGCAACCUGCCCUUCAGAGGGGGACAACAGUUGGAAACGACUGCUAAUACCGCAUAAGACCACGGUGUGGCAUCACACAGAGGUCAAAGGAGAAAUCCGCUGAAGGAUGGGCUCGCGUCCAAUUAGCUAGAUGGUGAGGUAACGGCCCACCAUGGCGACGAUUGGUAGCCGGACUGAGAGGUUGAUCGGCCACAUUGGGACUGAGACACGGCCCAGACUCCUACGGGAGGCAGCAGUGGGGAAUAUUGCACAAUGGAGGAAACUCUGAUGCAGCGACGCCGCGUGGGGGAAGAAGGUCUUCGGAUUGUAAACCUCUGUUGUCAGGGACGAUAAUGACGGUACCUGACGAGGAAGCCACGGCUAACUACGUGCCAGCAGCCGCGGUAAAACGUAGGUGGCAAGCGUUGUCCGGAAUUACUGGGUGUAAAGGGAGCGCAGGCGGGAGAGCAAGUUGGAAGUGAAAUCUGUGGGCUCAACUCACAAAUUGCUUUCAAAACUGUUUUUCUUGAGUGGUGUAGAGGUAGGCGGAAUUCCCGGUGUAGCGGUGGAAUGCGUAGAUAUCGGGAGGAACACCAGUGGCGAAGGCGGCCUACUGGGCACUAACUGACGCUGAGGCUCGAAAGCAUGGGUAGCAAACAGGAUUAGAUACCCUGGUAGUCCAUGCCGUAAACGAUGA